rnacentral:rRNA from 1 species
AUACGGAGGACGCGAGCGUUAUCCGGAUUCAUUGGGUUUAAAGGGUGCGCAGGCGGCCGUGCAAGUCAGCGGUGAAAGCCCGGGGCUCAACCCCGGAAGUGCCGUUGAUACUGCGUGGCUGGAAUGCGGUCGAGGCGGGCGGAACGGGGCGUGUAGCGGGGGAAUGCGUGGAUAAUCCACAGAACGCCGGUGGCGGAGGCAGCUCGCCAGGCCUGCAUUGACGCGCGGGCACGAAAGCGUGGGGAUCGAACAGGAUUAGAUACCCUGGUAGUCCACGCCGUAAACGAUGGGCGCUCGUCGUCGGCGACAGACAGUCGGCGGCCAAGCGAAAGCGAUAAGCGCCCCACCUGGGGAGUACGGUCGCAAGGCUGAAACUCAAAUGAAUUGACGGGG